rnacentral:rRNA from 1 species
GACUGCGUACCUUUUGUAUAAUGGGUCAGCGACUUAUAUUCUGUAGCAAGGUUAACCGUAUAGGGGAUCCGCAGGGAAACCGAGUCUUAACUGGGCGUUAAGUUGCUGGGUAUAGACCCGAAACCCGGUGAUCUAGCCAUGGGCAGGUUGAAGGUUGGGUAACACUAACUGGAGGACCGAUCCGACUAAUGUUGUAAAAUUAGCGGAUGACUUGUGGCUUGGGGUGAAAG